UACGUAGGGGGCAAGCGUUGUCCGGAUUUAUUGGGCGUAAAGAGCGUGUAGGCGGUUAUACAGGUCCGCUGUGAAAACUGGAGGCUUAACCUCCAGACGUCGGUGGAAACCGUAUGACUAGAGUCCGGAAGAGGAGAGUGGAAUUCCUGGUGUAGCGGUGAGAUGCGCAGAUAUCAGGAAGAACACCCGUGGCGAAGGCGGCUCUCUGGGACGGUACUGACGCUGAGACGCGAAAGCGUGGGGAGCGAACAGG
rnacentral:rRNA from 1 species